rnacentral:lncRNA from 1 species
GGGAGAGGUGAUCAGAAAAUAAUCUGAUUAUCUUUUUGUUGCAAAAAAAAAUAGAGUUUCAAUUUUCUCUCCAAUUACCCAAACUUUUUCUGAUAUUUUCUUCUUCUUUUUUCCCUCUUUUGUCGAUUCUUUCCCCUAGUUGCUGUCGAAAUUUCCAUUAUUUUUUCCCCUUCUAUUUUUUUCUUUAUUUUCCAAUUGAUUUGGUUGUUCAUCGUUGGUUGCGUGUGUUCGGUAAGUAACAGUUUUGUCUGUUGUUAAUCGUUCUUAGGUUAAUCUCUGAAAGGGGGAAUCCUUUUUGGUGUUUAGGAGUUAAUCAAGGGGUUGGUGGUUUUGAAUCG